AUGUCCAGCACGGCAUACAUCUCCAAGAUGAAGAGUCUCGGGGAUGAACUCGUGGCGGCAGGACGCCCGGUCUCCGAUCCCGAGAUGGUGGACUACGUGCUCGCCGGAUUGAAUUGCGACUAUGAUCCGGUGGUGGCGGCCAUUGGUGCUGUCAAGACCUCCAUCAACGUUGACGAGCUCUUUGCUCAGAUCGCCGCUUUUGACCAGCGCAUGGAGAUGCUGGGUGAUGGAGAAGAAGGAGACUUCAACACUUCAGCGAACCUGGCGUACAGAGGCCGCGGCCAGUACAGGUCCAGGGCGCGCGCACAUGGGACCAGGGGGCGCGGUCGAGGGAGGAGCUCUCCCUCUGCUCCAAGCAGCAGCAACUGGGGCGCUCGAGGUGGCCGUCCCCAACAAUAA
rnacentral:rRNA from 1 species